AAACCAACAGGGAUUGCCUCAGUAACGGCGAGUGAAGCGGCAAAAGCUCAAAUUUGAAAUCUAGCACCUUCGGUGUUCGAGUUGUAAUUUGAAGAUGGUAACCUUGGGUUUGGCUCUUGUCUAUGUUCCUUGGAACAGGACGUCAUAGAGGGUGAGAAUCCCGUCUGAUGAGAUGCCCAUUCCUAUGUAAGGUGCUAUCGAAGAGUCGAGUUGUUUGGGAAUGCAGCUCU
rnacentral:rRNA from 1 species